GCGCGAGAACUGAAGGAGCUUGCUCUUGAAGGGACAGCGGCGUAAGGGAGAAUAACAGGUAGAUACCUGCCCUCAGGUUUGGGAUAGCGUCGGGAAACUGGCAGUAAUACCAAAUAACAUCUCCGGAUCAAAGCUCCGGCGUCUGAGGAUGGAUCUGCUCACUAUUAGCUUGUUGGUGGGGUAAUGGCCUACCAAGGCAACGAUGGUUAGCGGGCGUGAGAGCGUGGCCCGCCUCACUGGGACUGAGACACUGCCCAGACACCUACGGGUGGCUGCAGUCGAGAAUCU
rnacentral:rRNA from 1 species